rnacentral:rRNA from 1 species
AGGACGAACGCUGGCGGCGUGCUUAACACAUGCAAGUCGAACGGAAAGGCCCGCUUGCGGGUACUCGAGUGGCGAACGGGUGAGUAACACGUGGGCAACCUGCCCUCAGCUUCGGGAUAACACUUGGAAACAGGUGCUAAUACCGGAUAAUAACCUUUCAUCGCAUGGUGGUUGGUUCAAAGUUUUUCGGCUGAGGAUGGGCCCGCGGCCUAUCAGCUUGUUGGUGGGGUAAUGGCCUACCAAGGCGACGACGGGUAGCCGGCCUGAGAGGGCGACCGGCCACACUGGGACUGAGACACGGCCCAGACUCCUACGGGAGGCAGCAGUGGGGAAUAUUGCGCAAUGGGCGAAGCCUGACGCAGCGACGCCGCGUGAGGGAUGACGGCCUUCGGGUUGUAAACCUCUUUCAGCUCUGACGAAGCGCAAGUGACGGUAGGAGCAGAAGAAGCGACCGGCCAACUACGCGCCAGCAGCCGC